rnacentral:rRNA from 1 species
UAGAGUUUGAUCCUGGCUCAGGAUGAACGCUAGCGAUAGGCUUAACACAUGCAAGUCGAGGGGCAGCAUGGUCUUAGCUUGCUAAGACUGAUGGCGACCGGCGCACGGGUGCGUAACGCGUAUGCAACUUGCCUCACAGAGGGGGAUAACCCGUCGAAAGACGGACUAAUACCGCGUACACUCUAUGUUGGGCAUCCAAUGUAGAGGAAAUGAAAUUCGCUGUGAGAUAGGCAUGCGUCCCAUUAGCUAGUUGGUGAGGUAACGGCUCACCAAGGCGACGAUGGGUAGGGGAACUGAGAGGUUGAACCCCCACACUGGUACUGAGACACGGACCAGACUCCUACGGGAGGCAGCAGUGAGGAAUAUUGGUCAAUGGGCGAGAGCCUGAACCAGCCAAGUCGCGUGAAGGAUGACUGUCUUAUGGAUUGUAAACUUCUUUUAUACGGGAAUAACAAGAGUCACGUGUGGCUCCCUGCAUGUACCGUAUGAAUAAGCAUCGGCUAACUCCGUGCCAGCAGCCGCGGUAAUACGGAGGAUGCGAGCGUUAUCC